ensembl:lncRNA TTTY12 testis expressed transcript, Y-linked 12
GAGACAUGAUUCUGGGGAAACUCUACCACCAUCUGUGUGCCUUGCCUAGCAAUAUGUCACUAUCCAGGUAUGUUCCUGGCAGAAAAGUUGCAUAACUUGGGGGUUAAAGACAGGAAUAUGGCACAAUGCCCAUUGUGGGCAGUGUCCAGACAGAAGAAGAGACUCAUAUCACCUAAAUGACAAACCCAGAAUAUGUCACAAUGUAUCCUGUUGAAAGGACCAGAAACGAGGAUGAAUUGCCACAUCAUCUGGUUCUGAGUUCUGAGAUAUUCACAAGUCCCCUUAGAAAACAACUCAGGCAAGAGAGUUACAUCACCUAGGAGCCCGUUCCACCCUUAUGUCACAGUGCUUCAUGUGUACAGGACUAAGAAGAAAGUCACAUCACCUAGAUGAUAGACCCAGAGACACGUCACAAAGCCUUCCUGAAAGCAUGGCCCUGGCAAAAUAGUACAAUCACCUUUGUACCUGGUCUAGCAAUAUGUCAUUAUUCAAGUGUGCAGGUACCAAGGAGAGGAGCCAUACUACCUAUGUUAUAUGCCCUGUGCUAUGUCAAAAUGCCUUCUUUUCAGCAUGGCCCUGGAAGAAUGUAUCAUCUCAUAUGUGACUGGCCUAGGAAGAUGUCACUAUCCUGCCAUGUGUGCAGGGCCCAUUUUAGAGAUUAGAGUUAUGUCUUCUUCUAAGUCAUGGACCCAGUGAUAUAUCACUAUGAUGUCUGUGAGAAUGGGCAGGCAGGAAUGUAAUGUCACUUGCAUUCUAGAUCCAGUGAUGUCACAAUUCUUACUGAGGGCAGAGCCCAGUCAGAAGAGUCAUAUCUUUUACAGGUUGGCCCAAGUAGAUGUCAAAAACCCCUAUGGAUUAGAUUUACAAUACCACACAUCUCUUGUUUUCAUGUAGGAGAGUUGCCUGCAUUCAUCUGUGAUGAUGAAAGUCCUUACUGUCAGCCAAGUGUGCAUAUGAGACUCACAAUUUCCUCUGUUUGCUAACCACUAUUAUGACACUCUCUAUUCAACCCAACGGUUUUAUAAAACAUUUGUCAUUGUUAUAAA